GGCCUCUACGGGACGCAGCAGUGAGGAAUAUUGGUCAAUGGGAGGACUCCUGAACCAGCCAUGCCGCGUGCAGGACGACGGCUCUACGAGUUGUAAACUUCUUUUGUACCGGGGUAAAAUGCCUUACGAGUAGGGUUUUGAAAGUACGGUACGAAUAAGGAUCGGCUAACUCCGUGCCAGCAGCCGCGGUAAUACGGAGGAUCCGAGCGUUAUCCGGAUUCAUUGGGUUUAAA
rnacentral:rRNA from 1 species